UCCCACUGCCCACGGACCUCUGUGUGUCUGGCCGUGCCCUCAAGGAUCUAGUGGCGGUGCCAGAGAGGACCUAGGUUGUCGAGAUCCGGGGCUGCUUAGAUGGCACCUAAGUGAUUCCUCUAGCAGCAAGUGACAUUU
rnacentral:snoRNA from 1 species